ensembl:lncRNA
ACCAUGUUUAAAAUUUUUCCAAAUUGAAACUGAUAUAUAUUUUGAGUCUCUUAAAUUUGUAAAAAAUAAGAAAGCUGUGUCAGUAAUUGAUAUAUACUCAAAACUUUUCAAUUGAAAAUAGAAAUUCCUUUUAUUUAUUUUUAUUAAAAAAUGAAGUCUGUAAGUCUGUUUUUUUAUGUGUAAUAUUUGUUUACGAACUGUGAUGCCUGUAUGUUUGUAAUUUGAAUUACUAUGAUGUUUGUAUGAUUGUUAAUUGAACUCUAAUAAAAAAAAAAAAAAAAAAAAAAAAAGCAUUUCUCUCGGAAAAGCUCGCCUGCGCACACGUCAACCAGAGGAGAGCGAGACCGCCCUCAUCAACGCGCUGACAUCCUGCUGACUUCAUUUCCAACCCUGCUCCAACACACCUGUCUGUAAUUAUCAAGUAGCCUUGAACACCGUAGUAGCUAGCUGUGUCCCAAACUUAAGUGCAUAGACUCCGAAGUGUGCAUUUGAAGUGCGAAUGCGUCACAGUGGUGCGACGAAGGGUGUCCCAAACUGAAAGCUGUGUCCCACACUUAAGUGCAUGGACUCCGAAGUGCGCAUUUGAAGUGCGAAUGCGUCACAGUUGCGCGACGAAGGGUGUCCCAAACUGAAGCGUGUGGACUCCGAAGUGCGCAUUUGAAGUGCGAAUGCGUCACAGCGUCACGACGUAAGCUGUCCCAAAGUCAGAAUGCGCACUCCGAAAACCGCAUUUGAAGUACGAAUGCGUCACCUCGGCGCGACGAAGGCUGACGGAUUUCGAAAGCGACUUCAAAUGCGCCCUUCAUUUCCCAUGAAAAUGAAGUGUACAUCUUAUGGACACUUCACACCCUACCAUAUCCCAGAAUCACUUGCGUGCAUAUGAUGACGGUGGCAGGGGAGAGUUCUGUGGAGGACUUCACAUUGAAAUGCAUGGUUUAUUUGUGAAGUGUCCUGAGACAGGUGAGGGAGCGAGUGGACAGGGAGGACAUCAAACUCAAACAAAUACAUUCUUCAUUAGCCAAGAGAAAACAGAGUACAUUACAGUUUUUCCAAUAUAUUUUUUAAAUGUCAUAUUGUCAAUGAAACAACCUAAUUUCUGUAGUUUAUUUUUGUGAUGCAAGUUAAAAAUGAAAUGUAUAAAUUGUAUACAUUAAUCAUUUUUUGUGUGUGUAAUUUAUUCGUAAAUAAGCCUGAGUACUUUCUGUACAUUUUGUAUUUUUGUUUUGCAUAUUCACGUGUAAAUAAAAGAAAAGUGCUUAUGUACA